GAUGAAGAACGUAGCGAAAUGCGAUACUUGGUGUGAAUUGCAGAAUCCCGUGAACCAUCGAGUCUUUGAACGCAAGUUGCGCCCGAAGCCAUUAGGCCGAGGGCACGCCUGCCUGGGCGUCACACGUCGUUGCCCCCCCAUCUACUCCUUCGGGAUUGCGGGGGGCGGAUGAUGGCCUCUCGUGCGCCUCGUCGCGCGGUUGGCCUAAAUGCCAAGUCCUCGGCGACGCACGCCACGACAAUCGGUGGUUGCGAAACCUCGGUUGCCUGUCGUGUGCGGUCGUCGCGCAUCGAGGGCUCGAAAAAAUUGCCGGGCUUCGGCUCGACUUUCAACGCGACCCCAGGUCAGGCGGGGUUACCCGCUGAAUUUAAGCAUAUCAUAGCGGAGGA
rnacentral:misc_RNA from 1 species